GUGCACCAGGCGAGAAUUUUCACAAUGGGGGAAACCCUGAUGGAGCGACGCCGCGUGGAGGAUGAAGGCCCUCGGGUCGUAAACUCCUGUCAUGCGGGAACAAGAAAGUGAUAGUACCGCAAGAGGAAGAGACGGCUAACUCUGUGCCAGCAGCCGCGGUAAUACAGAGGUCUCAAGCGUUAUUCGGAUUCAUUGGGCGUAAAGGGUGCGUAGGUGGCGAUGUAAGUCUGGUGUGAAAUCUCGGGGCUUAACCCCGAACUGCAUUGGAUACUGCGUUGCUUGAGGAUUGUAGAGGAGAGUGGAAUUCACGGUGUAGCAGUGAGAUGCGUAGAGAUCAUGAGGAAGACCAGUGGCGAAGGCGGGUCUCUGGACAGUUCCUGACACUGAGGCACGAAGGCCAGGGGAGCAAACGGGAUUAGAUACCCGCGUAGU
rnacentral:rRNA from 1 species